UACGUAGGCAGCGAGCGUUGUUCGGAGUUACUGGGCGUAAAGGGAGUGUAGGCGGUUCCCUAAGGUUGGUGUGAAAUCUCCCGGGUCACCUGGGAGGGUGCGCCGAAAACUGGAGGGGUAGAGUACGGGAUGGGAGAGUAGAAUUCCUGGUUUAGCGGUGAAAUGCGUAGAUAUCAGGAGGAAUUCCGGUGGUGUAAACGGCUCUCUGGACCGUAACUGACGCUGAGACACGAAAGCGUGGGUAGCAAACAGG
rnacentral:rRNA from 1 species